rnacentral:rRNA from 1 species
UACGAAGGGGGCUAGCGUUGUUCGGGAUUACUGGGCGUAAAGGGCGCGUAGGCGGCCGUUUGCGUCGGAUGUGAAAGCCCGGGGCUCAACCUCGGAACGGCAUUCGAUACGGGACGGCUAGAGACCGGGAGAGGAGAGUGGAAUAGCCAGUGUAGAGGUGAAAUUCGUAGAUAUUGGCUGGAACACCGGUGGCGAAAGCGGCUCUCUGGCCCGGUUCUGACGCUGAGGCGCGAAAGCGUGGGGAGCAAACAGG